AUAGAGCAACAGCUUCUAUGCAGUUUCUAAGGACCCCGUUAAUCUUCUACUCCGCCAAGAAUGGAAAGAUUAUCGGGGUUUUGUCUU
rnacentral:antisense_RNA from 1 species